UCUUGCCUUGCUUCCUGGCUCUUGCUAUCAGCUCCCCUUCCUUUUGUUCGGACACGCGGCUUCCCACCCUCGACGUGGGCCACCGCUAGGCGAUCAGAGCAACUGCUACUAAAAGUACCAGGUACGCUUCCAGCCGAGCGUGAUCACUCUGAAAUUGCCAGCGGGUCCCUGAAAAGGCAGGAAGAGAAACGGUUGCAACCGCCCACAGAACGUGUCAAGAACAACUUUUUUCCCUUUUUCCGCCUGUUUUUGUGCAUCUUUUUCUUUGACCAAACCUACCUUAUCGCCUCCGGAGACAUGUGCAGAAAGACUACUCCCAAAGACCAGAUGAUCUACAAUCGUGAAAUAGGACAGACCUAUUACAAGCUGGUACCUGGCACAAUUCAUCCUCCUUCUCGUCCUUCUCAUCCACCUCCUGCACCAAAUUCAACAAUCUCCUCCGCAAAAAGGAGACAGAGGAAUACAGGGCCUGAGGAGAACUGCCCGUAUAUUAAGAAGCCCCCGAACGCCUUCAUGAUAUUGAUGAGGAGCCAGCGGCCUGUCGUCAAGGCGAAAAUAUUUCAUAAAGACAGCGUGACUGAAAAUAAGUGCCUGCACCUAAGCUUGUGCCGCAGGCCCAGGCGCGUUCAAUGGGGCUCGACGCAGCCCUCGUGUCCAUUUGCAAAUUGUGGGACACAGACUGGGGGCUCAGUAUGGAGCCUGGAUGUGGGGGCCGAGGUGGACCUGACCUCCGCCUUGUUUGAGCAGCUGAAGGAAUUGGAGGCAGUAGAGCAGCCAGGCGUCCUCCUCCCCAGGCAUGUGCCGCAAAGGGGACAUGACGGGGAGAGAGAGGUCAGGGUUGGCUUCAACUUGAAAACUGCGCUAUAUUCAAUAUCUAAGCACAGACUAUAAAUUUAUUUCAAAUGAUUUUAUAAACCUAAAUACAUAAACUGACGGAUGUUAUGUAUUUGUGUUUGCAGUGUCUGCACCUGAGCUCACUCUGCCGGGGCCCACGCCUUUCACCAACAUCCAGCAUGAGGGGCAAAACGCGGACCUGAGCUCAAUUUUUGAAUUGGGAGACAUGACAACAUGGAGCCUGGAUGUGGGGCCCGAAGCGGACUUGACCUCUGCCUUGUUCAGGGAGUGAGAAGCAUUGGAGGCGACGGAAGCAGGCGAGGCGUCCUCCCUCUCCUCCUCUUCAACAUGCACCUCUAUCCUAUAUGAGUUGGACCUGAUCUCCGCAAUGUUUGAGAUCUGAGACUUUCAGGUGAUGGAUUUGGCCCAGGCGUCCUCUCACUCAUCAAUAUGGAGCAGUGAACCUGGAUGUGGGACCCAAGGUGGCCCUGACCUCCACCCUAUUCAAGGAGCUGGAAGACUUGUGUUGGAGUCGAGAUGGCCGAGGCAGCGAACGCGCAAGGGUGGCUUCACCCUGUUUCAGACUGAAAAAUAUACACAGUAUCUAAGCACAGACUAUAAAUUUCUUCUCUAUUUCAAAGAUUUUUUACAAAAUGUGCAUAACCUAUGAAUUUAUUUUUUAUAAAUGUUUUACAAUUGGGCGGCACGGUGGACGACUGGUUAGAGCGUGUGCCUCACAGUUCUGAGGACCGGGGUUCAAUCACCGGCCACGCCUGUGUGGAGUUUGCAUGUUCUCCCCGUGCUUGCGUGGGUUUUCUCCGGGCACUCCGGUUUCCUCCCACAUCCCAAAAUACAUGCAUGGUAGGUAAAUUGACAACUCUGCCCGUAGGUGUGAAUGUGAGUGUGAAUGGUUGUUUGUUUGUAUGUGCCCUGCGAUUGGCUGGCAACCAGUUCAGGGUGUACCACGCCUCCUGCCCGAUGAUAGCUGGGAUAGGCUCCAGCACGCCUGCAACCCUAGUGAGGAGAAGCGGCUCAGAAAAUGGAUGGAUGUUUUACAAUUGUACAUAUAUGAAUUGCCUCUAUAAAUGUUUUUACAAAUGUAAUUGAUUAAUUAGAUUCUCUGUGUACAUUACCUCAAACUUGGGGGGCGUUAAUAUAGGGCCUGGUGGACACUUGGGGCCCUGUAUUCCUCUUUCUCCCAUUGGGAAAACAAAAGAUAAGCAAACACAUCACCUCUGUGAGGACGUGCCAGGAAAGACAUUUUGCAGAGAAUCCUUACUUUGAGGAGGAGUUUGAUGAUUUUGGUGGUGGUGGACAAGCGGGAGGAUGGAGAAAAGUGCCAGGCACUUUAGCAGGGAUGCCCAAACUUCCCUCUCCCCAGCCACUUCAUCCAGCUCUUCCGGGGGGAUCCCGAGGCGUUCCCAGGCCAGCCGAAGGACGUAGUUUCUCCAGCGUGUCCUGGGUCGUCCCCGGGGUCUCCUCCCGGUGGGACGUGCCCGGAACACCUCACCAGGGAGGCGUCCGGGAGGCAUACGAAUCAGAUGCCCCAGCCACCUCAUCUGGCUCCUCUCGAUGUGGAGGAGCAGCGGCUCUACUCUGAGAUCCUCCCGGAUGACCGAGCUUCUCACCCAAUCUCUAAGGGAGAGCCCGGACACCCUGCGGAGGAAACUCAUUUCGGCCGCUUGUAUCCGGGAUCUUGUUCUUUUGGUCACAACCCACAGCUCGUGACCAUAGGUGAGGGUAGGAACGUAGAUCGACCGGUAAAUUGAGAGCUUCGCCUUUCGGCUUAGCUCCUUCUUUACCACAACGGACCAAUACAAAGUCCGCAUCACUGCAGACGCUGCACCGAUCCGCCUGUCGAUCUCCCGUUCCAUUCUUCCCUCACUCGUGAACAAGACCCCAAGAUACUUGAACUCCUCCACUUGGGGCAGGAUCUCAUCCCUGACCUGGAGAGGGCAUGCCACCCUUUUCCGACUGAGGAGCAUGGUGUCAGAUUUGGAGGUGCUGAUUCUCACCCCAGCCGCUUCACACUCGGCUGCGAACUGCUCCAGUGAGAAUUGGAGGUCACGGCUUGAUGAUGCCAACAGAACCACAUCAUCUGCAAAAAGCAGAGAUGCAAUACUGAGGCCACCAAACCGGACCCACUCUACGCCUCGGCUGCUACAAGUACAUCUCAAUAAAUUAGAAUAUGGUAGAAAAGUUAAUUUGAGUACUCAUAUCUAUUCGUUAAACAAAGAAAAUAUUUUUUUAAACGACUAACUGCUGCACAAUUUCCAUGUUAAAAGUAAUUGAUCUCAUAUGAAGGUGAGUUUCCUUAUUGAGAAGUAAUAUUUUAAUUUAUUGCGCUGAUAAAUUUGGGGCUUUUAAAACUGUAAAAUAUGAACCUGCACAAUAGUUUGCUCUUAAUAUUUUAAACAUCAGCAGAAAACAGACCAAAAAAAUUGAAAAUAGAGAAAUCCCUUGUUUAUUAAGUUCAGGACGACACUCGCAGUAGGUGAAAUCAGCAAAGCAGUUUUGAAGUUUAUUUUAUUUUUUUGCGUUACAUAUACAUCUUUUUCUUGCUCAAUGAACCUCACCAGACUCAAUCAAACCCACACUCCUAUUAACAUCUUCCAUUAAGAAAAUAGUAGUGUAGUCUCUCCAGGAUGCAAACACCUUAUUUCUUGUAUGUGUUAAUAGUUUUGAUAUUUUUGCCAUUUUUUUAAAUAUUUUUUUUUAACCCAAUACUCUUGCACUCUCUCUCAGUAUAUUCUGUGUUUAAAUGUAUGUGAAUUGUUUUUGUUUGUCAAGUGUGUGUUUCUUUUGAAAGGAUUGAAGAGUACAGAAUAGUAAGUCACACUUUAUGAAAGAGUAAUGAAGGAGACUGGCCUCUGUUAAGAUGCAUUUGUCACACUGUGGCGAUAUAUCUGGAAAUAUUGUGUGAAGUUUGGAUUUAGAGUAGUGGAGUCUGAAUCACACAAAAUUAGCUUAGAGAAUGCCUCGAAUUCAUUGAGCAAACAUUGACCUCUUUCAGGCUCUCGUCCCAGGUCUUAUCGGGGAUCCGAAAUCAUAUAAAUGAAUCUAUUUUCCUUUACAGAAAAUAUGAAAUUAAACGCUUCCUCUUGGAAGUUGUUGUGACUGUCAGCUUGUCCCAAUGUGCACAACCUACUUCUGCAUUUGGCAAAACUGGUAUUUCCUUCCGGAAAGCAGACGCAGUUUUCCGGGUUUGGUUAAGUGAUGUUCAAGUGACUUCCUAAAGCUGACUGAAAGCCAGUGUAAAGACUUGAGAAUUGGAGUAUUAUGGUCUGACCUCUUUGUUCUGGUCAGAACCCGAGCUGCAGCAUUCUGAAUGAGCUGCAACUGUUUAAUACACUUUUUAAGGAUUCCAGUCAGAAGACCAUUACAAUAGUAAAGUCUACUUGAGAUAAAAGCAUUGAUGAGCUUCUCCUGGUCUGCUUGACACGUGCAAGCCUUCACUCUGGAUAUGUUCUUCAGAUGGGAGAAGGCAGUUUUAGCAAUUGAUUUGAUAUGACUGUUGAAAGUCAGGUCGGAAUCUAUCAGAACACCAAGGUUUCGGACUUGGUCUCUGGUUUUUACAGAGAGUGACUCCAGGUAUUUACUAACAGCAAUCCUCUUUUCUUUAUUGCCAAAAACAAUUAUCUCAGUUUUGUUGUGGUUUGAAGAAAAUUUUGGCUCAGCCAGAUAUUUAUUUGUUUUAGACAGUGACAAAACACCUCAAUUGAACUGUAGUCAUAUAGAGACACUGCUAGAUGUAACUGUGUGUCAUCUGCAUAGCUAUGAUAAUCAAAAUUAAAGUUCUGAAGAAUUGGACCCAAGGGUAGCAUAUACAGGCUGAACAAGAAUAGACCCUUGAGGGACCCCAUAGAUCAUUGCCAUUCGAUGAGAUUGAACACUUCCAAUGGUUACAAAAUAACUCCUUUCCUCCAGGUAGGUCCUGAACCAUUUAAGGACUGUUCCGUUUAGUCCAACCCACGUUUCCAACCUGUUCAGCAGUAUAUUAUGAUCUACCGUAUCAAAAGCUGCACUGAGGUCUAACACGACCAGAAUUGACAUCUUUCCCGAGUCAGUAUUCAACCUUAUAUCAUUUAGCACUUUGAUAACAGCAGAUUCUGUACUUCGAUGUUUUCGGAAACGUGAUUGAAAUUUGUCAAAAAGUCCAUUUAAGUUCAAUAAAUUGAUGAGCUGGUUAAAAAUAACUUGGUCAACAAUCUUGGCUAUGAAAGGGAGAUUUGAGAUUGGUCUAUACCUUGCUAACAUGGAAGCAUCCAGUGUUCUAUUUUUUAACAGAGGCUUAAUGGCAGCUACUUUCAGAGCUUUAGGAAACUCGCCUGACUGAAGUGACCAAUUGAUUAUUUGCUGCAAAUCAGCAAGCACAGACUUCGCAAUAGCUUUGAAAAAGUCAGAUGCUAUUGAGUCAAGACAGCUCGUUGAUGGUUUCAGCUGGUGAACCGUUUUCUCUACAGUUUUUAGGUCAACUGUAUCAAAUUCUGAUAUCAGAAUCAGACUCAGUCUCAGAAUCAUCUUUAUUUGCCAAGUAUGUCCAAAAAACACACAAGGAAUUUGUCUCCGGUAAUUGGAGCCGCUCUAGUACGACAACAGACAGUCAAUUGACAGAGAACACUACUGAGAUAUAAAGACAUUGAGGAAAACAGUCACUGAGCAAUAAAUGGUUGCUAGUUAUCUGGUAAUGCCGGUACAAUUUAUUUUAUUUUAUUUUUUUGACAAUUGUGCAAAAAGAUGCAGAGUCCUCAAGCACUUAGAGCAGUUCGAAUGACUAGUAUUGCAAUAGUCCGGUGCAAUGACCAAUGUGCAAAGGGUGCCGAGACUUCAAGCGAGUAGUUCGAUAAUUUGGGACAAUGUUGAUUGUGCAAAUAUUGCAGAUACUCCUCAGUCAGUGUGCAAAUGGAGCAGAUGCUACUCUGGCAUGAGUGGCCAGUAUUGGUCAACAACAGAUAUGCAAAUAGUGCAGCGUGGUGAGACUACUACAGUGAGUGCAUGAGUAAUAUAUAAGACUCAAGACAAAAAAAUUGCCAGCAUGUUGCAAUGGAAUUAUAGGUUUGGUGUUUAAGAAGUUGAUUGCAAGAGGGAAGAAGCUGUUGAAAUCUCUGCUCGUUCUAGUGUGCAUUGAUCGGUACCGCCUACCUGAGGGAAGGAGCUGGAAGAGCUGUUGACCGAGAUGUGGAGGGUCCGAGAGUAUUUUGCACGGUCUUGUCUUAGUUCUGGCAGCGUGCAAGUCCUCAAGGGUGGGCAGGGUGGUACCGACAAUCCUUUCAGCAGUUUUGAUUGUCCGUUGCAGUCUGAGUUUGUCCUUUUUUGUAGCAGCACCAAACCAUACUGUGAUGGAAGAACACAAGACUGAUUCGAUGACCGCUGUGUAGAACUGCCUAAGCAGCUCCUGUGGCAGCCCGUGCUUACUCAGAAGCCACAGGAAGUACAUCCUCUGCUGGGCCUUUUUGAGGACGGAAUUGAUGUUAAUCGCCCACUUCAGGUCCUGAGAGACUGUAAUUCCCAGGAACUUAAAGGUCUCGACGGUUGACACAAGGCAGCUGGACAGUGUGAGGGGCAGCUGUGGCGAAGGAUGCCUCCUGAAGUCCACGAUCAUCUCUAUAGUCUUGAGCGUGUUCAGCUCCAGGUUGAGUCGGCCGCACCACAGCUCCAGCCGCUCCACUUCCUGUCGAUAAGCAGACUCGUCACUGUCCUUGAUGAGGCCGAUGACAGUGGUGUCAUCUGCAAACCUCAGGAGUUUGACAGCCGGGUGCGUUGAGGUGCAGUCGUUUGUGUAGAGAGAGAAGACCAGCGGAGAGAGGACACAACCUUGGGGCGCCCCAGUGCUGAUGCUGCGUGUGGAUGAAGUGGCCUCCCCCAGCCUCACCUGCUGUGUCCUGCCCGUCAGGAAGCUGUAAAUCCACUGGCAGAUGGCAGGUGAGACGCUGAGCUGGAGAAGCUUGAAGGAAAGGAGUUCAGGGAUGAUGGUGUUGAACGCUAAGCUGAAGUCCACAAACAGGAUCCUCGCGUAGGUUGCUGCACUGUCGAGGUGUUCUCGGAUGAAGUACAGUCCCAUGUUGACUGCAUCAUCCGCAGACCUGUUUGCUCGGUAGGCAAACAGCAAAGGGUCCAGUAGGGGACCUGUGACACUCUUCAGGUGGUCCAGCAUGAGACGUUCAAAGGACUUAAUGACCACAGAUGUCAAGGCGACAGGCCUGUAGUCAUUUAGACCCGAGAUUGCAGGUUUCUUGGGGACUGGAAGGAUGGUGGAGCGUUUGAAACAGGAUGGUACUUCGCACAGUUCCAGAGAUCUAUUGAAGAUCUGAGUUAAGACUGGAGCGAGCUGGUUUGAGGCAGGAUGAGGACACAUGGUCUGGGCCAGCCGCUUUCUUAAUCUUUUGUUGUUUGAAGAUGUGUCUCAGAUCCUGUUCGCGGAUGGUUUACGCAGAAGUCGGUGGUGUGAUAGUGGUCGGUGGUGCGGCUGGGUGGGUGUGGAAGUGUCCUUUUCAAAUCUGCAGUAGAAGGUAUUCAAGUCGUUGGCUAGUGUGCUAUUGUCCUCAGCUUGGGGGGAUCGUCGCUUGUAAUUUGUCAGCGAUUGGAAUGCAUGCCAGACUGAUUUAGAGUCGUUAGCGCUAAACUGUUUUUCCAACUUUGCUGCAUAGUUCCUCUUUGCAAUGUUAAUUUCUUUAGUCAGCUGGUUUCUAGCUCGAUUAUACAGGGCCCUGUCCCCGCUCUGAUAUGCAUCCUCCUUAGCUUGGCGAAGCUGCUUAAAUUUGGCAGUUAACCACGGCUUGUUGUUAUUGAAUGUGCAAAAUGACUUGGUAAUAGAGUUUUUCCUGGGUGGCUCCAGAUGUAAUAUAAUUUUAUCAUUUUGCUGAUUUGUGCUAAUAUUUAACCUGAUGGAUCAUAUUUUUUCACUAAAAUAAGCAAAUUCAUUGCAUUUAUCUGCUGUUAGGAGUUCUGGAGCUGUCUGAUUCGGGGGGGUGGGUGGGGUGGUGAGCGUUGUGCGCAUGUCAACCACAGCAAACAGAGUAUUGUUGCAGUUCUUACUGAUGAUUUCAGAAAAGUGUUGGUGUCUAGCCCUGACUAACUCUUGGUUAAAAUUACAAUUUUUCUGUAGAGGUCAUAGUCAAUUUGGAGUUUAGUUUUUCUACACUUACGUUCUGCUUUCCUACACUUUGAUUUAGAGAUCUUUACCAUCAUUGUACUCCUCCACGGUGUUCUAGGUCGCCUCAAGAUUGUCUUAGUUUUAAUAGGAGCGACAGCAUGCAUGACAUUUGAGAUUUUACAGGUGAAAUUAUCCAAAAGUUUAUCAACUGUCUCAGGAUUCACAGUUUGGUGUCCAUAAACUUUGUGGCGGUAUUCUCAUUUAUGUACCUUUUCUUAAUAGACAUAGAGGUUGUUUGAACUUUUGGAAGAAUAUGUAAUUCAAAGAAUGCACAAAAAUGAUCAGAAAUAGCCGUAACCUUAAUGUCAAUUGAUAGAAUUUCAACAUCCUUAGAGAUGACCAGGUCUAAGAUGCGACCUUGAGUCUGGGUUGGUCUCUUAAUAUGUUGAGAGAGGUCAAAUAUGUCUAGUAUAGCAGAGAGUCCAUGUUAUUGUCAACAUGAAUGUUAAAGUCUCCCGUUAUGACAAAAUAGUUGUCGUCAGUACAAAUAACUGAUAGCAGUUCAGAAACGUCCUCCAUAAAUGUUCUAUUGUAUCUUGGGAGGCCUAUCAAUUAUUAGCACCUUUAACUAAAACACUGAGAUAUUCAAAAGAGCUAAAAUCCAUCCAUCCAUCCAUUUUCUGAACCGCUUAUCCACACAAGGGUCGCGGGCGUGCUGGAGCCUAUCCCAGCUAUCUUCGGGCGAGAGGCGGGGUACACCCUGAACUGUUUGCCAACCAAUCGCAGGACACACAUAAACAAACAACCAUUCGCACUCCCAUUCACACCUACGGGCAAUUUGUAGUCUUCAAUUAACCUACCAUGCAAGUUUUUCGGAUGUGGGAGGAAACCGGAGUGCCCGGAGAAAACCCACGCAGGCACGGGGAUAACAUGCAAACUCCACACAGGCGGGGCCGGGAUUUGAACCGCAGUCCUCAGAACUGUGAGGCAGAUGCUCGCCCACCGUGCCGCCAGAGCUAAAAUCACCCGCAAAAUAUUGUGAAAUGGCGGCCAGCUAAAUACUUGAGAAGACUUGGAAACCUGAGAGGCCUGCGCAGGGCAUGUUUGUGACACGUUAUACCACUGGUCCCCCUUUCCAAAGAGACGCACGGCAUGAGAUGUCCGAGAUGACACCUCAAACGGACCAGUCCAGCGUGGUUCAGACCACUUCCUUUGGAGCCCUUUCAAAUACACGUGAGUUGGAAGGGAAGGGUCACUGACGUGGACGUCUGCAACAGAGGGAUCUGAAACACAAAGCGAGGACACAAGUGAUGACAGUUGCUCGCAGUAGGGCUUAUAGCCCUUUGGCGGUUCCACGUCCGGUUGGAGCGAAGCCGAGUCUGGACCAGGCAUCAAGCGGCCGGUCAGGAGUUCAAAAGGGGUGAACCCCGUCCGGCGGUUAAUAGUUUGCCUGAUGGAGAACAAAGCAAGGGGCAGGGCAUGGAGCCAAUUAAGUGUGCACACAUUUUUGCCAGCCGUUGUUUGACUGUGCGGUUCAUCCUUUCCACAUGGGCCUGGGACUGAGGAUGGUAGACUGAGCCAAAUUUAUCUUUGAGUCCCAGUAUACAUUCGACCGUGGCCAACAAAUUGUGGAACUUGUGGAAACCAAUGUGUCGGGAUAUAAUGGUUAACCAGCGCUUUGCACAAGGAUAGGCUUCGGGCCAUCCAGAAAAAGGGUCACCAAUCAUUAACAGGUACCUUUUCCCUUGGACUUGGACUAUCCAUCCAUCCAUUUUCUGAGCCGCUUCUCCUCACUAGGGUCGCGGGCGUGCUGGAGCCUAUCCCAGCUGUCAUCGGGCAGGAGGCGGGGUACACCCUGAACUGGUUGCCAGCCAAUCGCAGGGCACAUAGGAACAAACAACCGUUCGCACUCACAGUCAUGCCUACGGGCAAUUUAGAGUCUCCAAUUAAUGCAUGUUUUUGGGAUGUGGGAGGAAACCGGAGUACCCGGAGAAAACCCACGCAGGCACGGGGAGAACAUGCAAACUCCACACAGGCGGGGCCGGGGAUUGAACCCGGGUCCUCAGAACUGUGAGGCUGACGCUCUAACCAGUCGCAACCGUGCCGCCGGACUUGGACUAACAUAUCAGUAAAGUCCAUAACCACUACAUCAUUCGGGCAUCGGCCCAUCUCAGUGUGUUCCAGUUCCCUCUUCAUUGUAGGGCCAACACUGAAAUUCUGACAUAUAUCAAAAGAAACACAAAACCCUUUUACCUUACGCAGAAGAUCAGGGUGCCACCAAAAGUGCAGCUUGUUCAGCAUUGACACAUAACUCUCAUGUGUCGGGUCAUGUGCUUCCUCAACCACUAACCGCAUGGACUUUCCUGCAGGUAACACCAGUCUCCUAGGGCCUCUCGCCGGGCCAAACCUCAGCUUCUCCUUGUCGUCAUACUCAGCACCUUUCUUUUGCCACUUUUUUUCCUCUGGUGCCGCCUCUUGGAGGUCGCGCACUACAACAACUGUUAUUGCAGGGAGAAAGUCAAUCAACUGAUCCUGUUUAACAACAUAGUUACCUUGAGCAUCCGUUUGAUAGUCUGCUAUUUUCUUAGCCGCGGCAUCAGUCGCGCCAUUUCCCCAGGCUACCCGCUUUCACAUGUCCUGGACACUUGACCACAGGCACCUCCAUUGGCCUAUCAAUAGCCUCGCUCAGUCGUUGAAUCAGCUCUGCGUGGGCCGUAACAAAACCCUGUCGUCUCCAUGCAGCCAAAUCAACAAACAAGCAUCCUACCACAUAGGCCGAAUCAGAAUUAAUAGUAACACUCUGACCUUCAGAUAUCUCCAGUGCCCUACACGUAGCCAGCAGAUCUGCAGCUUGAGCGGAGGGUUUCACAAAAGCAUUUGUGGACCAAAGCGUGUUGAAGUCAGAAUUUGGGUCUCCUGGGGUCAGGGCCUCAACGACGGCAGCCCCCGCAUGUAGUAGUCCCAAGUUAUGUCUCCAGCAGUAGCCGUCGGUGAAGAACACCCGACCACCUGAAAGAGGAGCUGAGGACAAAUCGGGCGGGCCUUCAAAUCCCGCAUGACCUGAUCUUGGCAGAACUGGAAAUACUAUCAGCCAUAUUGAUCCCCGAGAGGAGGAAUACAAUAUGGGGUUGGCUGAGGGUCGUCAUCAGGCGUUGCUGACUUAAUUGUGACAUCGUGAACGCUGCUGAGGCCACAAAUGCUGUCACCCCAUGAUGAGUAAGAAUAAAAACUUGGUGUCCCAUAACAAUGUGUGCAGUCUUAUUAAUGCAUGUGGCCACAGCUGCGGCAUAUUCAGCACAAGUAUAUUGUAACUUACAAUUCUUAUAAGUAAAUGUGAAAUAUUACCGGCAUUCUUCUGCCAGGGGAAUGCAGAAGAAUGCAUUAGCCAAAUCAAUUACCGAGACCCAUUGCAUCUCCGGGCCCAAAAUACCUAAACAACGGUGUGGAUAUGGGACCGGGACGCAGGGAGUACUAGUAAUAUCAUUUAUUUGUCUCAAAUCAUAAGCCAUCCGGUAAUUGAUACCGUCUGCCUUUUUUACCGGUAAAAUAGGAGUGUUAAAGGGAGAAUUCCAUUCUUCAAGCACUCCGGCUUUCCAGAGUCCCUCUAAGGUCUCCGCGAUGCCUUCAGCGGCCUCUUCUUUACAGGGGUACUGCGGCACGUUAACAAAAGCAGUCGGGUCUACCUCGAACGUGACCGGAGUCACCGAUGCACAUAGACCCCAACCACAGUGAGUCCGGCAGCGAAUUCAACAGCUGUACGGCAUACUCAUGGUCCGAGAGCUCUCUGCCAUGGAAUCGCGCCAAUGUCACAUGCUCCAACACCCCUUCGUCCACUGCGGCACCCUGAAUACAAAAGCAUUCAGUACUAGGAGAGUACAACACAUUGGGUAUUUGGCCUUGUUGCCAAUCAUUUGCCAAAUGGCAUUUCUGUACCAUGGG